rnacentral:rRNA from 1 species
UGCCACUCUUAACGGGGUGGCUUUUCAGAAGUGUAAAAAGCUUCUGGAAUAAGGGCUGGGCAAGACCGGUGCCAGCCGCCGCGGUAACACCGGCAGCUCAAGUGGUAGCCGCUUUUAUUGGGCCUAAAGCGUCCGUAGCCGGUCUGAUAAGUCUCUGGUGAAAUCCCACAGCUUAACUGUGGGAAUUGCUGGAGAUACUAUCAUGACUCGAGGUCGGGAGAGGCUGGAGGUACUCCCAGGGUAGGGGUGAAAUCCUGUAAUCCUGGGAGGACCACCUGGGCGAAGGCGUCCAGCUGGAACGAACCUGACGGUGAGGGACGAAAGCCAGGGGCGCGAACCGGAUUAGAUACCCGGGUAGUCCUGGCCGUAAACGAUGUGGACUUGGUGUUGAGAUGGCUUCGAGCUGCCCCAGUGCCGAAGGGAAGCUGUUAAGUCCACCGCCUGGGAAGUACGGCCGCA